rnacentral:rRNA from 1 species
CUUCGGAGGMGUURAUGGGCGUCGAGCGGCGGACGGGUGAGUAAUGCCUAGGAAAUUGCCUUGAUGUGGGGGAUAACCAUUGGAAACGAUGGCUAAUACCGCAUAAUGCCUACGGGCCAAAGAGGGGGAUCUUCGGACCUCUCGCGUCAAGAUAUGCCUAGGUGGGAUUAGCUAGUUGGUGAGGUAAUGGCUCACCAAGGCGACGAUCCCUAGCUGGUCUGAGAGGAUGAUCAGCCACACUGGAACUGAGACACGGUCCAGACUCCUACGGGAGGCAGCAGUGGGGAAUAUUGCACAAUGGGCGAAAGCCUGAUGCAGCCAUGCCGCGUGUAUGAAGAAGGCCUUCGGGUUGUAAAGUACUUUCAGUUGUGAGGAAGGGGGURACGUUAAUAGCUGUAUCUCUUGACGUUAGCAACAGAAGAAGCACCGGCUAACUCCGUGCCAGCAGCCGCGGUAAUACGGAGGGUGCGAGCGUUAAUCGGAAUUACUGGGCGUAAAGCGCAUGCAGGUGGUUCAUUAAGUCAGAUGUGAAAGCCCGGGGCUCAACCUCGGAACUGCAUUUGAAACUGGUGAACUAGAGUGCUGUAGAGGGGGGUAGAAUUUCAGGUGUAGCGGUGAAAUGCGUAGAGAUCUGAAGGAAUACCAGUGGCGAAGGCGGCCC